UCAACCGUUGGUCCAAGCAACGUGCUUCUCUAAGUCAGUUGCAGUGCGGGCAGCUGCCAGUGGGUUGGUGAUGAAGCACUUUGUCUUGUCCUACAAACGAAGUGGUGAGCCAGCCAUUUCCAGACUGAUGAAGGAGCAAGUCGGAGGAAAUGACGACCUGGAUCCCAUCGUCAACCAAAGUGUACAUUUUUCGGUGUUGAUAUCAUCUUAGUCAAUACCUCGAACAGUCUGUAAAAUUUUAUGUCAUAUUUUCUGUCCUAACUGAUGUUAUGGACGAUUUCUCAUCAAUUUUGGGAUUUUGUGUUAUUUUGUGUCAUCAAGGAAAAUUGUGUUUUUGGCAAGACCUA